rnacentral:rRNA from 1 species
AGAAUCAACGCUGGCGGCGUGCCUAACACAUGCAAGUCGAACGAGAAAGUGGAGCAAUCCAUGAGUACAGUGGCGUACGGGUGAGUAACACGUGACUAACCUACCCUCGAGUGGGGAAUAACCUCGGGAAACCGGGCUAAUACCGCAUAACAUCUUCGGAUCAAAUGCGUAAGCAGCUUGAGGAGGGGGUCGCGGCCGAUUAGCUAGUUGGCGGGGUAAUGGCCCACCAAGGCAAUGAUCGGUA